rnacentral:rRNA from 1 species
CCCUUAGAUGUCCUGGGCCGCACGCGCGCUACACUGAUGCAUUCAACGAGUUUUACCUUGGCCGAGAGGCCUGGGCAAUCUUUUAAACCUGCAUCGUGAUAGGGAUAGAUUAUUGCAAUUAUUAAUCUUGAACGAGGAAUUCCUAGUAAACGCAAAUCAUCAAUUUGCAUUGAUUACGUCCCUGCCCUUUGUACACACCGCCCGUCGCACCUACCGAUUGAAUGGUCCGGUGAAGCCUCGGGAUUGUGGCCAGUUCACUUUAUUGGGAGUUGGCUGUGCGAACUUGUCUAAACCUUAUCAUUUAGAGGAAGGUGAAGUCGUAACA